GGGUUGGGCGAUAAACAGGCUGUGGCUAGGGAGGAGGGGUAGGGGCAUUCGUUCCGUUGGGACUUUUCACGCCCCCUUAUUUUUUUAGGUGUGGUUAGGUUCAGACGCGGGGCCCUGGCAGAGGCUUGAGCCUACUCUCUUGUGAAAGGGGAAAGAAGCUCCCGAGGAGGGCGGCCGAAGUUGCGGAGAGGGUGCGAGACAGGAGUUCUCCCCUAUGCCAGCCAAAUGGUGCGGCCCUGAGCUGUUUCACGACCCGGCCCGACGUGUCUGAGAGAGGCCCCGGAGCGGGCAGGGAGGCGGCCCGCAGAACGCGGGUUCUGUGAAGAGACGUGGAGAAAAUUCGAUUCGGAGAAGAGGAAAAGCCCGAUUGAAAGAGAGCGAGGCCGCUGAGGGGGAGGGGGCUGCCAAGAUGGCGUCGGCCUCCUCUGGGCCGUCGGCGGCCGGGGUUUCAUCCUUGGAUCCCGCGGUCCCUUCCGGCGCCUCGUCCUCAGGUUUCAACUUUCUGUGCUGUGGGGUCAACCAUAAGAGAGCAUCAGGAAUCAAGAGAUCCAUGGCAUCUGAGGUGCCUUAUGCCUCUGGCAUGCCCAUCAAGAAAAUAGGCCACCGAGGUGUUGAUUCCUCAGGAGAGACGACAUAUAAAAAGACAACCUCAUCUGCCUUGAAAGGUGCCAUCCAGUUAGGCAUUACUCACACUGUGGGAAGCCUGAGUACCAAACCAGAGCGUGAUGUCCUCAUGCAAGACUUCUAUGUGGUGGAAAGUAUCUUCUUCCCCAGUGAAGGGAGCAACUUGACCCCUGCUCAUCACUACAAUGACUUUCGGUUCAAGACCUAUGCACCUGUUGCCUUCCGUUACUUUCGGGAGUUAUUUGGUAUCCGGCCUGAUGAUUACUUGUACUCCCUCUGCAGUGAGCCAUUGAUUGAACUCUGCAACUCUGGGGCUAGCGGUUCCCUCUUCUACGUGUCCAGCGACGAUGAAUUCAUCAUUAAAACGGUCCAGCACAAAGAGGCAGAGUUUCUGCAGAAGCUGCUUCCAGGAUACUACAUGAACCUCAACCAGAAUCCUCGAACUUUGCUGCCUAAAUUCUAUGGACUGUACUGUGUGCAAGCAGGUGGUAAGAACAUUCGAAUUGUGGUGAUGAACAAUCUCUUACCACGGUCAGUCAAGAUGCACAUCAAGUAUGACCUCAAGGGCUCUACGUACAAACGGCGGGCUUCCCAAAAAGAGCGAGAGAAGCCUCUCCCCACCUUUAAAGACCUGGACUUCUUACAAGACAUUCCAGAUGGUCUUUUUUUGGAUGCUGACAUGUAUAAUGCUCUAUGUAAGACCCUACAGCGUGACUGUUUGGUGCUGCAGAGCUUCAAGAUAAUGGACUAUAGCCUCUUGAUGUCGAUCCAUAACAUAGAUCAUGCACAACGAGAGCCUUUAGGCAGUGAAGCACAAUCCUCAGCUGACACUCGCAGACCAGCCCCCCAAAAGGCUCUCUAUUCCACUGCUAUGGAAUCUAUCCAGGGCGAGGCUCGGCGAGGUGGCACCAUGGAGACUGAUGACCAUAUGGGUGGCAUCCCUGCCCGCAAUAGUAAAGGGGAAAGGCUGCUGCUUUAUAUUGGAAUCAUUGACAUUCUCCAAUCUUACAGGUUUGUUAAGAAGUUGGAGCACUCUUGGAAAGCCCUGGUACACGAUGGGGACACUGUAUCGGUGCAUCGCCCAGGCUUCUAUGCUGAACGGUUCCAGCGCUUCAUGUGCAACACAGUGUUCAAGAAGAUACCCCUGGUUUCCGAGUUGCUGCUUUUCCCCUGGCUCUCCCUUCGUGUGUCAUUGAGUGAAGCCCUCUCCUUCCAAAAAGUUUCGGUCUGGCUCAUCUUUCUCUCGGCGAGCAGGCCCCAGCGGCAACUCCUGCAUUACUUACCAGACAUCGGUCUCUGGGGAGCACAAGGCACAAGUGACAACCAAGGCGGAAGUGGAGCCAGGCGUCCACUUCGGUCGUCCUGAUGUUUUACCUCAGACUCCACCUUUGGAGAAAAUCAGUGAGGUCUCGACUAUUCCUGACCCCUAUUUCUCACCUGUAGUUGGAGAGACUUUGCAAAUGCAAACUACAAGUUCAACCCUCUUGGAAAAGCCUGAAGUUGCAGAGUCAGAGUUCACCCAUUGAGCAAAAAAACUCGGAAGACCUGGAACAAGAUUCUACCAGCUUGGUGAUCCCAAGAAGCCAGCCCUUGUCCCAGCAAUGCUGAGUUUUCUUCUUCGUGGUCAUCACAAAAGGAUUAUAAUGGAGGCGAGGGGAGCUCUCGGUCUCCUUUCUGAAGAAGAACCUCUUCUCCUUCCCCUUCCUGACGAAUGGGCAUUGGUGCCUUGGACAGUUGAGGACAGCAGCAUCUUCUCCACUUCUGAGUUAGGGGGCACAACUUUUCAAAUGGCCAGCCUUGGCUUCCACAACGGAAUUGUUUUCAAGCCCCCAUUCUUCCUGCUGGAAGUGGGGUUGCUGGACUUGGUGGUUUUCUUCCUCUUCACCUACCUUUCACUGGGAGCUGGACUCUUAACUUCCUCAGGACAGACUGGCUGGCACAUUAUCUCCACCUUCGCGCUUUCUCUGGAAGAAGACCCUUGUAAUCUUUGUAAAGGUUUUGGGGAGUCAGGGUGUUAAGCCAACUCCCACCUUCCUUU